UACGUAGGGUGCAAGCGUUGUCCGGAUUUAUUGGGCGUAAAGGGUGCGUAGGUGGUCGUGUUAGUCUUCUGUUAAAUUCUUCGGCUCAACCGGGGUCCUGCGGAGGAAACGGCACGACUAGAGGGUGCGAGAGGCAUGCGGAACUCAUGGUGUAGGGGUGAAAUCCGUUGAUAUCAUGGGGAACACCGAAAGCGAAGGCAGCAUGCUGGCGCAUUCCUGACACUGAAACACGAAAGCGUAGGUAGCGAAUGGG
rnacentral:rRNA from 1 species